GAUGAACGCUGGCGGCGUGCCUAAUACAUGCAAGUCGAGCGAACAGACGAUGAGCUUGCUCCUCUGACGUUAGCGGCGGACGGGUGAGUAACACGUGGAUAACCUACCUAUAAGACUGGGAUAACUUCGGGAAACCGGAGCUAAUACCGGAUAAUAUAUUGAACCGCAUGGUUCAAUAGUUAAAGACGGUUUUGCUGUCACUUAUAGAUGGAUCCGCGCCGCAUUAGCUAGUUGGUAAGGUAACGGCUUACCAAGGCAACGAUGCGUAGCCGACCUGAGAGGGUGAUCGGCCACACUGGAACUGAGACACGGUCCAGACUCCUACGGGAGGCAGCAGUAGGGAAUAUUCCGCAAUGGGCGAAAGCCUGACGGAGCAACGCCGCGUGAGUGAUGAAGGUCUUCGGAUCGUAAAACUCUGUUAUUAGGGAAGAACAAAUGUGUAAGUAACUAUGCACGUCUUGACGGUACCUAAUCAGAAAGCCACGGCUAACUACGUG
rnacentral:rRNA from 1 species